rnacentral:rRNA from 1 species
CCUACGGGAGGCUGCAGUGAGGAAUAUUGGUCAAUGGGAGAGAUCCUGAACCAGCCAAGCCGCGUGAGGGAAGACGGCCCUAUGGGUUGUAAACCUCUUUUGUCGGAGAACAAAACCCGGGACGUGUCCCGGACUGCGUGUCUCCGAACAAAAAGCAUCGGCUAACUCCGUGCCAGCAGCCGCGGUAAUACGGAGGAUGCGAGCGUUAUCCGGAUUUAUUGGGUUUAAAGGGUGCGCAGGCGGAUUUUUAAGUCAGCGGUCAAAUCGUGGGGCUCAACCCCAUCCAGCCGUUGAAACUGGGGAUCUAGAGUGUGCGAGAGGUAUGCGGAAUGCGUGGUGUAGCGGUGAAAUGCAUAGAUAUCACGCAGAACUCCGAGUGCGAAGGCAGCUUACUAAGCCAUAACUGACACUGAAGCACGAAAGCGUGGGGAUCAAACAGGAUUAGAUACCCCGGUAGUC